UUUGUAUCUGUUGAGUCGCCUGCCAUCCCAUACUGCCGCAGAACGGAAGGAAAAUCAAGUCAAAGGUCAGCCAAUCAGCGGCUACGAGGUUGUAUGAUCGACACUCGACCUCAGUGCACCUCGCCGUUAGUGCAGAAUAUAAAUUGGAGAAAAUUGUAAGUACUGGUGUGUCUCAGUGAAACAGAUUUCAACUACCAGUCUCGACUCUGAGUCAUUGUACAUCAGGAGUGACAACGAUAUCACGUCAUCAUGCGACACGUGCUGAUGGUUGUAGCGGUGCUGGUGGUGCUGUGUCAGCUGACUGCUGCUGCAGCGACUCGCGAUGACCCAGGCCAGUCACUUGUUGCUGCUCACAUCGAUGCUAAGGGGGAGGGAGGGUUGCUGCAUUCGUUGAAGAAACGAGCGAUGGAUCAGCACCUCGGCCCGGUAAUCCCAUUUCGACACGAGCCCCGACGACGACCGCGGCCUCGAUCGACCCGAAGACCGGAACGUAUUCUGGUGUGAGAGACAGUUACUACCGCCACUGAAAAAUGUCUUCUUCACCACAAGAAAUUAUGCUUUGUCUCGCCAUUUCCAUUCACAGCUUUUUCAAAUGUUCAGCUGGCGAUGUUUCUAUCUUUGACUUUGCACACAACAGUUUGAUGUGACAGUCGGCGGUGUUGAGACGAUGGCAGGACGAGAGAUGACGUGGACUGAAGCAAACAACAUGAUGUCACGUGUCCUCCAGCUGCUGUGAUUGUCUUUAGCAGUCUGCUGAUUUCACAAAAAUAAAACGUUAAAACUGAA